CCUGAUCUCUUCUGUUAUCUUUCUUCAUUCAAGCACCCAAAUUGGUGAUUAACUAUCUUCAAGCCCUGAAAUCUUCCGAGGAGUCUUUAAAAGAGCAGCUUGAAAAAGCAAAAAAAAAGGAAGGUGCAUUCUUUGUUACUUUUGCAAAACGAGAACAAGAAAUAGCAGAGUUGAAGUCUGCUGUGCGGGAUCUGAAAGCUCAACUCAAGCCAGCAACGAUGCAGGUAUUGUUUUAUAUAAUAUAAUUUUUGCUAUUGUGUGCUUUCAUCAAUAUGGCUGUGUCUAAAGUCUUUCAUGGUACAUAGGAAAAGCUGCAAUGUUUUAAUUCCAAGUUAUCCUGUUUGUAGUGGUUUAUGUACUAUUUUUGUUGUUCUGUUCAUUUCUCCUUCAAACAGUGAUAUACCCAGGAGGUUUACACUUUAUGACAUGUAUAAAUUGUUCACUAGAUCUUGUAUAUUAGCUGACAAGAAGGUUGCACUCAAGAUAAAUAACUAUGUGCUAGUCUGCCUCUUU